rnacentral:rRNA from 1 species
UACGUAGGUGGCAAGCGUUGUCCGGAAUUAUUGGGCGUAAAGCGCGCGCAGGCGGUCCUUUAAGUCGGGUGUGAAAGCCCCGGGCUCAACCUGGGAAUUGCAUUCGAGACUGAAUAGCUAGGGUACGGUAGAGGGAAGCGGAAUUUCCGGUGUAGCGGUGAAAUGCGUAGAUAUCGGAAGGAACACCAACGGCGAAAGCACUCUGCUGGGCCGACACUGACACUGAGAGGCGAAAGCUAGGGGAGCGAAUGGG